GACGAACGCUGGCGGCGUGCUUAACACAUGCAAGUCGAACGGUGAAGCCUUUCGGGGUGGAUCAGUGGCGAACGGGUGAGUAACACGUGGGCAAUCUGCCCUGCACUCUGGGACAAGCCCUGGAAACGGGGUCUAAUACCGGAUAUGACCUGGGAGCGCAUGUUCUCGGGUGGAAAGCUCCGGCGGUGCAGGAUGAGCCCGCGGCCUAUCAGCUUGUUGGUGGGGUGAUGGCCUACCAAGGCGACGACGGGUAGCCGGCCUGAGAGGGCGACCGGCCACACUGGGACUGAGACACGGCCCAGACUCCUACGGGAGGCAGCAGUGGGGAAUAUUGCACAAUGGGCGGAAGCCUGAUGCAGCGACGCCGCGUGAGGGAUGACGGCCUUCGGGUUGUAAACCUCUUUCAGCAGGGAAGAAGCGUGAGUGACGGUACCUGCAGAAGAAGCACCGGCUAACUACGUGCCAGCCGCCGCGGUAAAAC
rnacentral:rRNA from 1 species